rnacentral:lncRNA from 1 species
UGUAAGAAUUUUUGCUUUUCCUCUUAAUCAAACAGGGAGUCAUUGCAGGGUUUUAAACUGAGCAGUGCUGUGAUCUAACUGAUAUUUUAAUGUGGCCCUCUGGCUGCUGUGUGGAGAAGAGAUUAGGUAGAAAGGCAAGGUUGAAUGCAGGAAGGCCUGUUAGAAGAUGAUGGCAGCUUGGUGGGAGAUGGAGGUGGUAAUGGGUGGAGGGGUGACAUGGAAAGAGCCCCAGACCAGAGGCCAAGAGACCAGGUCCUAGUCUGGACUCUAUCAGCUUAGCGGAGUGAUAGAA